rnacentral:rRNA from 1 species
UACGUAGGGGGCAAGCGUUGUCCGGAUUUAUUGGGCGUAAAGCGCGCGUAGGCGGCCCGGUAAGUCCGUUGUGAAAGUCAAAGGCUCAACCUUUGAAUGCCGAUGGAUACUGCCGGGCUGGAGUCCGGAAGAGGCGAGUGGAAUUCCUGGUGUAGCGGUGGAAUGCGCAGAUAUCAGGAGGAACACCGAUAGCGAAGGCAGCUCGCUGGGACGGUACUGACGCUGAGGCGCGAAAGCGUGGGGAGCAAACAGG